UACGGAGGAUGCGAGCGUUAUCCGGAUUUAUUGGGUUUAAAGGGUGCGUAGGCGGACUGUCAAGUCAGCGGUAAAAUUGAGAGGCUCAACCUCUUCCCGCCGUUGAAACUGGGUGCCUUGAGUGGGCGAGAAGUACGCGGAAUGCGUGGUGUAGCGGUGAAAUGCAUAGAUAUCACGCAGAACUCCGAUUGCGAAGGCAGCGUACCGGCGCCCUACUGACGCUGAAGCACGAAGGCGUGGGUAUCGAACAGG
rnacentral:rRNA from 1 species